AUUGAACGCUGGCGGCAUGCCUUACACAUGCAAGUCGAACGGCAGCACGGGAGCAAUCCUGGUGGCGAGUGGCGAACGGGUGAGUAAUAUAUCGGAACGUGCCCGGUCGUGGGGAUAACGUAGCGAAAGCUACGCUAAUACCGCAUACGAUCUACGGAUGAAAGCGGGGGAUCGCAAGACCUCGCGCGAUUGGAGCGGCCGAUAUCAGAUUAGGUAGUUGGUGAGGUAAAGGCUCACCAAGCCGACGAUCUGUAGCUGGUCUGAGAGGACGACCAGCCACACUGGGACUGAGACACGGCCCAGACUCCUACGGGAGGCAGCAGUGGGGAAUUUUGGACAAUGGGCGCAAGCCUGAUCCAGCAACGCCGCGUGCAGGAUGAAGGCCUUCGGUUGUAACUAGCUCUUGUACGGUAACGAAACGGUAGGAGCGUCUAAUACAGUUUGCUAAU
rnacentral:rRNA from 1 species